UCUGAAAAGAAUGCUAAUACCGCAUGACAUUCCUUUCUCGCAUGGGAAGGGAAUCAAAGGAGCAAUCCGCUGAGAGAUGGACUCGCGUCCGAUUAGCCAGUUGGCGGGGUAACGGCCCACCAAAGCGACGAUCGGUAGCCGGACUGAGAGGUUGAACGGCCACAUUGGGACUGAGACACGGCCCAGACUCCUACGGGAGGCAGCAGUGGGGGAUAUUGCACAAUGGGGGAAACCCUGAUGCAGCAACGCCGCGUGAAGGAAGAAGGUCUUCGGAUUGUAAACUUUUGUCCUCAGUGAAGAUAAUGACAGUACCUAAGGAGGAAGCCCCGGCUAACUAUGUGCCAGCAGCCGCGGUAAUACAUAGGGGGCAAGCGUUAUCCGGAUUUAUUGGGUGUAAAGGGUGCGUAGAUGGAGGAGCAAGUUGGUUGUGAAAUCCCUCGGCUCAACUGAGGAACUGCAACCAAAACUACUUCCCUUGAGUGUCGGAGAGGAAAGUGGAAUUCCUAGUGUAGCGGUGAAAUGCGUAGAUAUUAGGAGGAACACCAGUGGCGAAGGCGACUUUCUGGACGAUAACUGACAUUGAGGCACGAAAGUGUGGGGAGCAAACAGGAUUAGAUACCCUGGUAGUCCACACUGUAAACGAUGGAUACUAGGUGUAGGAUGUAUUAAGCAUUCUGUGCCGCUGCUAACGCAUUAA
rnacentral:rRNA from 1 species